UGCUUCGGGAUCUCCGAACCCCCAAGAUGAUAUCAGGACAGUAUGGAGAGUGUACCACCGAUGCACCGGGGUCCCCAACACCCCAAUACGAUAUCAGGUCGGUAUGCAGAGAGUCCCGUCACAAAGGGGACCCUGACACCUGACGAUGAUAUCAGGUCCGGUGUACAGAGGGUGUCAUUAGGGCAAUGACAACAUGCAGUGGGUGACAACAGAAGACACAACAGCAGUACAAGACCGGGAAAUGAUUAAAAUAACUACAAACUUGUAUUUACUAUAUACACCUUGCGGCAAAAAUGUCAACUAAAUUUUCGACGCCGAAUCAACGCCAUCUGGUGGAGAAAAGGGGAACUAAGCCUUGCAACAUUUUUGGCCCUCUAGCGGCAAAAAUGUCAACUAAAUUUUCGACGCCGAAUCGGCGCCAUCUGGUGGAGAAAAGGGGAACUAAACCUUGCAACAUUUUUGUCCCUCUAGCGGCAAAAAUUUCAACUAAGCUUUCAACGUCGAAUCAGCGCCCUCUGGCGGCGAAAUUGGAAACUUAAUUGAUCACAAUCUUUCGAUCUUUGGUGAGAUAUAUACAUAAAAGAUGUAGGGCUGUGUGGGAUACUAGAAUAUAAGUGAUAUAAGGAUGUAAUGGAUCCAGAGAUGCAAGGGCUUCAGAGAUAUAAAGGAAGCAGGGAUGUAAGGGAUGCAGAGAUGUAAGGACUCUAAGGAUGUGAGGAACACUGAGAUAUAAGGGGCUGAGGGAUGAAAUGAUUCAGAAGAAAUCGGUCGGUCAGUUGCUUUUUUAAAAUGAUUUAUUUACUAAGGCGCAUGAAGCGAAUACAAGAUUGUUUUACAAUUAUUUUAAUAAUGUUUCGGUCUUAUACUAGUUUUAAUUACUUUAUAAAAAAUAGAGUCAGGGGGGUGAAAAUCGAGUCUUUUCAGUAGUCUGUGCGAGGGGCGGCAAAAGGGGGACUGGUAAAACAGGCACGAUUGUCAACCGACUGUGUUGUGUUACAUGCAGACCUAACUGUGCCUGGGGGUGUCAGGGACCCCACAAUCAUGACUCCUCGCGAACAGGACAAAGGCGUGUCCUGUAAGCAAACUUUAAUAGCAAAGUUUAUUAACUAUUAUAGUAUUAUGCGCAAUAAAAAAAGCAAUAUAGAACCUACCUUAUAAGAUGUCGGCUAUAUAUUUUCUUUCCUAUCCCCUUCGGAUCAUCCCCUUUGUUUUUCCAUUUAUCUCUCAAUUUUAACUGAUGUUCGCUUUUCUAUUUAUUGAAACUGUAAUUGAUUGGGGAAGAAGAAAAGAAGGUGUAAUUAAAAUACAGAACGAUAAAUUUGUUUUUCUCUUUUUUUCUUGGCGGUCGUUAGAACCGUUCGUUUACAAUUUUCAUUCUUCAAGUAACAAGAUCAUCAAUGAUCUACGUCGUUCAUAAAUCAUUGCAUCAAUUGCACUCCACCCUGCUUUUCGUGAGGGAAUUUCGAUUAUUCUAAUUGAUGACCGAUCGAUGUCCUCCUGUUACCGAUUACUUUAUCGCGCUUUUCUUUAUUCUCAAUCGUAGAUUUUCGUAGCGCUAAAUCAUCAAGCAUGAUCUAAAACCGAUUUCCGAUCCGUCUUAUUCCUUUUACAUCCUUUAAGGCUUAAUUUAACCCUUAACCCUUUCACUGUUGUAUUCUUCUUGUGAUACCCGUAAAUCUAUCACUGAAACUCGAUAAAUAAUUUAUUUAUUAUUUAUUUUACGAUUUCAGGAAAAAUUUUGAUGUUUCCAUCGGUAAUCACUUGUAUAAAAUUCAGCAAAAGGGUUAAAUAAUAUGGGUACAAAAAGGAGCUGUUUAUUUUACGUCAACAACGUGGUUGUGUUUACAAAAAUUCUGGAAAAUUGUAACCACGUGGAGAGUGUUUCUCGACAUGGUUGUCACGAAAAAAAAGAAAGGGUGAAAAUUUAACAGAAUGCAAUGUUUUAAAAUGUACGAUUGAUGUUGGAAGAAUUCUUAUUCUAUUUUAAAUAUUAAAAAUUCAAAAACGUUAUACAUAAUAAUAAACGUCUGACGUUGCUUUUUAGUUAGAUGCUUGUUUAUGUUUGUUAAACGGUUGUAACUUAAAUUAUUAGUUUUUAAAGCGUGUUAACAUUGAAAAAUGUGUACAAAUUGAAUGAAAACUGAAAGAGUUCAAAGAGCUAGAAUUCCUGACUAACUCAAGAAUCAACCCUCUGUAACCCAAACGUUUAGCCACUGUUUUUUAGUUUAUUGCAUCGUUAAGCAUGGAUAUAAAACAACGUUAUAAACAAAAUCUUCGCAUAAUGUAAGAUAUUAAAACUUAAAACAUCGUUUCGCUUCUACAUACUUUUAUUAAAUACUUAUUUGUACUAGGACUUUAAAGUCACAAUUAUAUACAAAAUAAUAAUAAAUAAACCAAACCUUACAAAUAAUACAAACAUAUCAUAAAACGUCGCUUAAAUCGAAUGGGUUACUGAGGUGUGCUUCAAUGAAUUAUUGCUUUUUCUAGCAAAUAUUAAAUUAAAAUUAAAGAUAAUUAAAAUAAAAUUAUACUUUAAUUUAUAAAUACAGUAUUAAAAUUCUUAAUUUCCUUCUUAUUCGCAAACUUUAUAACGUUACUGCUUUUUUUCUGAUCCUUAAAAAGAAACGAUUAUAAAUGAAAAGUACUACACUGUACAAAAUCAAAUUAAACCUAUGUAUCGAUUUAUUUCACGAAUUUCACUUCUCAAUACAAUCCGAUAAGUUACAAAAUCUAGAUCGUUCAAUUGAAAGUAACGUUAAUAAUUAAAAAUCCUCUGUACAAAUUAAUCUAAAAUUAACGCCUUUUUUUCUAUUCACUAUAUUCUAUGGCCAACAUACAACAUCUUGUUAAAAAUUAAUUCUGUUCAAUCUCGAACAACCGUGCCCGAAAACUCUCCACGUGGUACCACAUCAUCGAACUUAUCGAUCCUCGAUCAGGAAAAGCCUGUCGAGAAGGUUCGUCGUAAAAAAGUCACUGUUCCGUUUAAAAUCGAUACAAUUAGUUCCAAAAAGAAAACGCGUAUCGUUAGGAAUAUCGUUAGCAUUAUUA